UAACGCGUGAAGAACCUGCCUUUCAGUGGGGGACAACGAGUUGGAAACGACUGCUAAUACCGCAUAACAUACCGAGGGGGCAUCCCUUUGGUAUCAAAGCUUAAUGUGCUGAAAGAUGGCUUCGCGUCUGAUUAGCUAGAUGGCGGGGUAACGGCCCACCAUGGCAACGAUCAGUAGCCGGACUGAGAGGUUGAACGGCCACAUUGGGACUGAGAUACGGCCCCAGACUCCUACGGGAGGCAGCAGUGAGGAAUAUUGGUCAAUGGGCCGAGAGCCUGAACCAGCCAAGUCGCGUGAGGGAAGACGGUACUAAGUAUUGUAAACCUCUUUUGUCAGGGAACAAAGAGACCACGUGUGGUAAGAUGAGUGUACCUGAAGAAAAAGCAUCGGCUAACUCCGUG
rnacentral:rRNA from 1 species